rnacentral:lncRNA from 1 species
GUUCACCACUUUGUGUGUCCAAGGACCACCUACUUUUUACAUGUGACAAGAACUACCCACCUCCACUCUUCAGGAUAGAACAUGCUGAAGAAAAGAGUUGCAAUGAGAAAAUAUAUGGGAACAAAAUACCUAUGCAAUGCAGAAGUCUGCAUAACUGAACCACUCAGAGGAAAAAGUUUCCCUCCCAGGCUGGAGUACAAUGGCGCGACCUCGGCUCACUGCAACUUCCACCUCCCAGUUCAAGCAAUUCUCCCACCUCAGCUUCCUUAGUAGCUGGGAUUACAAGUGCCUGACACCAGGCCAAGCUAUUUUUGUAUUUUUAGUAGAGACGGGGUUUCACCAUUUUGACCAGGCUGGUCUCAAACUCCUGACCUCAGUCCAUCGGUCCACCUCGGCCUCCCAAAGUGCUGGGAUUGCAGGCAUGAGCCACCGCUCCUGGCCUCAAGUUUAAUUCUUAAAUUGCCAUUUCAGGACACCUCCUACAUCUGAGGAAAUAUGCAUUGAUCUUGCAGUACUUUUCUCCUCCAAAUAAAAGUCAGUAUGAUAACAACUACACUAUCAGAAGU